GGGCUUAUAGCUCAGUUGGUGAGAGCGCACGCCUGAUAAGCGUGAGGUCGGUGGUUCGAGUCCACCUAAGCCCACCA
rnacentral:tRNA from 1 species